rnacentral:tRNA from 1 species
GCCGAGGUGGCGGAAUUGGCAGACGCGCAUGGUUGAGGGCCAUGUGGACAUAAAACGUCCGUGCGGGUUCAAGUCCCGCCCUCGGCACCA